AGCAUUCACCAAGGAUGAACUGAAAGCAGGAUCUGUCUCACCAUACACUGAGAACUGUAGAAUAUGCAAGGCACAUGGAACUUAUUUUCUUACGUAUAAAAGCGUGUAUAUGCUCCUUAUACAUCUGUCCUAAUGCUUUCCAACAGUCCUCACUCUAAGCCUCACCAAGACCCAGAUGAGGAAACAAAGGCACAGAGGGAUAAACUCAGAGCAGGAAGACAGCAAGGAAUAGCAGUGAAAAGCAUGGUGCUUAAUCCAACCCCUUACUCACUGCUGAGACCUGGAAAUGUGUUCAUCAGCUACAAAACAGGAGAGAUGAUAACUCAUUAUGUAUAUGUGAUGAUAAACAGAGACAAUAUAUUGAAGAGCUUAUAUGAGUGGCAGACACGGGACAUGCUUCCCUGUGGCUGGCCAGCGUGUCAUCUUCUCCAUGUGUCCAGAGAAAAGCUUUGCAAAUCAACCUCUCGAUGAAUGAUGACGGCACCAGUGAAAUCAGGGGAGGCAGAAAAUCAUGUUAGUUUGGUUUAUAAUGCAAGAAGUUACAGAACACAGAGUGCUCAAAACUAAGAAUGUGCUAGUUGUAUAACAGGGUCCUUCUUGGGACUCAGCCAGGAUUCAAACUAUAAAGGAAAAUCGGGUGAGCAGGUGGGAUAGUCAAGUGAUUCUAUUUGCAUGAAUAAUUUUGUGAGAUGAUACCUUCUUGUCCAGGAACAUUGAGCAGUGCUCGUGCUGGGUGGAUUGUGAUGUGGAAACCCUGGGAGAUGUCACGUCUGACAUCAACUUUCUCCCAGGUGACAGCUGCACCCUCUAAAGGCUUCUCAAAUGACAGAGCUCAAUGAAUAUAGAAGGGAAAAGUAUGAGGAUGACCUAUGAGCACAGGGUGGACAGUCUCUGCGGUGGGCAGGCAUUAGCAAAGGAGAGACCUUCUGUAUUAUGCAGGCAGGCAUCUGGUGGACCUUCUUCUUGGAUUGUGAUUCAAAAGCCCAAACCAUUCCUCACUGGUCUGAAAAAGUGGAAUUUUCCAGAGGCUACAUGAUGAGUGACGUCACGACAGAUUGAGUACAGAGCCAACUAUGAGAAUCCAGCUGCCUUCUAUUAAGGUACCCUUUCUGUGGAUACCUUCAAGUUCCAGCACCAAAUAUGAAGGCGACUGCCAUCACCAGCUCCCACCCCUACAUGAGGUCAAAUCCCUGGAUGGCAUAUAACACACUAGAGCAAUUAAGAGGAUCUAACUAAAGGUGGGGAAGGAAAAAUGUGUGUACAGAGACAGGAAGUCAUGGACACAGUUAUAUUGAAAGAUACAAUGACCUCCUCCUC
ensembl:lncRNA